rnacentral:rRNA from 1 species
AGUGAACGCUGGCGGUAGGCCUAACACAUGCAAGUCGAACGGCAGCACAGGAGAGCUUGCUCUCUGGGUGGCGAGUGGCGGACGGGUGAGGAAUACAUCGGAAUGUACCUUUUCGUGGGGGAUAACGUAGGGAAACUUACGCUAAUACCGCAUACGACCUACGGGUGAAAGUGGGGGACCGCAAGGCCUCACGCGAUUAGAUGAGCCGAUGUCCGAUUAGCUAGUUGGCGGGGUAAUGGCCCACCAAGGCGACGAUCGGUAGCUGGUCUGAGAGGAUGAUCAGCCACACUGGAACUGAGACACGGUCCAGACUCCUACGGGAGGCAGCAGUGGGGAAUAUUGGACAAUGGGCGCAAGCCUGAUCCAGCCAUACCGCGUGGGUGAAGAAGGCCUUCGGGUUGUAAAGCCCUUUUGUUGGGAAAGAAAUCCUAUCGGUUAAUAACCGGUGGGGAUGACGGUACCCAAAGAAUAAGCACCGGCUAACUUCGUGCCAGCCGCCGCAGUAAAAC